rnacentral:rRNA from 1 species
GACGAACGCUGGCGGCGUGCUUAACACAUGCAAGUCGAACGGAAAGGCCCUGCUUUUGUGGGGUGCUCGAGUGGCGAACGGGUGAGUAACACGUGAGUAACCUGCCCUUGACUGUGGGAUAACUUCAGGAAACUGGGGCUAAUACCGGAUAGGAGCUCCUGCUGCAUGGGGGGGGUUGGAAAGUUUCGGCGGUUGGGGAUGGACUCGCGGCUUAUCAGCUUGUUGGUGGGGGAGUGGCUUACCAAGGCUUUGACGGGUAGCCGGCCUGCGAGGGUGACCGGCCACCUUGGGCCUGAGGUACGGCCCAGCCUCCUACGGGAGGCAGCAGUGGGGAAUAUUGCACAGUGGGCGGAAGCCUGAUGAAGCAGCGCCGCGUGCGGGAUGACGGCCUUCGGGUUGUAAACCGCUUUCGCCUGUGACGAAGCGUGAGUGACGGUAAUGGGUAAAGAAGCACCGGCUAACUACGUG